rnacentral:rRNA from 1 species
GAUGAACGCUAGCGGCAGGCUUAACACAUGCAAGUCGAGGGGCAGCACAGGUAGCAAUACUGGGUGGCGACCGGCGCAAGGGUGCGUAACGCGUGAGCAACAUGCCCGUAUCAGGGGGAUAAUCCAUGGAAACGUGGUCUAAUACCCCAUAGUAAGUUUUUGAGGCAUCUCGAAGAUUUUAAAGCUUUGGUGGAUACGGAUUGGCUCGCGUGACAUUAGCUGGAUGGUAGGGUAACGGCUUACCAUGGCUACGAUGUCUAGGGGUUCUGAGAGGAAGGUCCCCCACACUGGAACUGAGACACGGUCCAGACUCCUACGGGAGGCAGCAGUGAGGAAUAUUGGACAAUGGAUGGAAAUCUGAUCCAGCCAUGCCGCGUGCAGGAAGACGGCCCUAUGGGUUGUAAACUGCUUUUGUAUGGGAGCAAUAAGAUCUACGUGUAGAUUGAUGAGAGUACCAUACGAAUAAGCACCGGCUAACU